rnacentral:tRNA from 1 species
UCCCUGGUGGUUCAGUGGCUAAGACUCUGCACUCCCAAUGCAGGGGGCCUGGGUUCAAUCCCUGGUUAGGGAG